rnacentral:tRNA from 1 species
AAAAAAUUAGUUAAAACAUAACAUUAAAAUGUCAUUUUAAAAUUAUUAAUUAUUAAUAUUUUUUC